CAGUAGCCGCGGGAAUACGUAGGGUGCGAGCGUUAAUCGGAAUUACUGGGCGUAAAGCGUGCGCAGGCGGUUGUGUAAGACAGGUGUGAAAUCCCCGGGCUUAACCUGGGAACUGCGCUUGUGACUGCGCAGCUAGAGUAUGGCAGAGGGGGGUGGAAUUCCACGUGUAGCAGUGAAACGCGUAGAGAUGUGGAGGAACACCAGUGGCGAAGGCGACUCUCUGGUCUGUAACUGACGCUGAGGAGCGAAAGCGUGGGGAGCGAACAGGAUUAGAUACCCGUGAGUCCCUGUCUCUUAUACA
rnacentral:rRNA from 1 species